GAUGAACGCUGGCGGUAUGCUUAACACAUGCAAGUCGAACGGACUCUUCGGAGUUAGUGGCGGACGGGUGAGUAACGCGUGAGAAUCUGGCUUUGGGUUCGGGACAACCACUGGAAACGGUGGCUAAUACCGGAUGUGCCGAGAGGUAAAAGAGAAAUUGCCUGAAGAUGAGCUCGCGUCUGAUUAGCUAGUUGGUGAGGUAAAGGCUCACCAAGGCAGCGAUCAGUAGCUGGUCUGAGAGGAUGACCAGCCACACUGGGACUGAGACACGGCCCAGACUCCUACGGGAGGCAGCAGUGGGGAAUUUUCCGCAACGGGCGAAAGCCUGACGGAGCAAUACCGCGUGAGGGAAGAAGGCUCUUGGGUUGUAAACCUCUUUUCUUAGGGAAGAACAAAAUGACGGUACCUAAGGAAUCAGCAUCGGCUAACUCCGUG
rnacentral:rRNA from 1 species